ACGAUAAACUCACUACAUCUUAUCUGGGCGUCAUGAUAAGUGACUCAUGAACUCACCAAGCAGGAAGGGAGGCGUAGUAUAAUCAGUAUCGAAUACGAACUUGUGUUUUGAAGAGGGCUGGGUGAUCGGAUUCAUGGAAAUGUGACUUAUUCAGUUCUUUUGGAAUGUUGUGUGUGAGGUAAACCUAUCUACUUCAAACGCUAACAUGGGUAAAUACCAGGUCCGCGUCCACACAUUCCUCCAGGAGGUGGAGACGGCCAUCGACAAGAAGACGAUUGGGCGUCAGCUUCUUUUAGAGGUCAGUCACUGCUGACUAAUUAAAGGCGCAAAGAAUAGUCCUGACUUUUCAGAUGAUUGAUUUGGUUGAUAUUGGUGAGGAUUUCGGAGAGGAGAUUUGUCUACUAAAUGUUGGUAUUUUGAAAGAAAUAUGUGAGUGGUUGCAUUUUUCCCAGAGAGAGAGAGAGAGAGAGAGAGAGAGAGAGAGACUGCGGUACAAUCUUUAUAUAUAAUUAUCUAUGAUAUAUAUAUAUGUAUAUAUGUUGUAACGAUUAGUCGUUAUUUGUUUUAAACAAUCUUUACGAUUGUUGCAUUGUUUCCCUUACUCGUCAGUAUUUAUCGUCAUGGUGACGAGGUUACUUUUGGCGUGGUGUGAGUGACAGCUGCAGACAGGUUUUGGAUGGCGAUCUGAGAGGUUCUGGGAAACCUCGGCUGAGAAGGCAACAGCAGCAUGGCAGUAUUGGAGCAGCUGGAAGUCAUUUGUGACUUCAGCAGGAUGACUGACUUCUGUAGGAGGAUGAGGACUCAUCCGUUUGUGUUUUCGACAAUUCUUGUGAAUUUGUCUGUUUGCGUAUUUUGCUGCUUGGGUAUUAUGUCUUUUUCUUCUAGAUCGUGCUGCCUAUUUUUGUUAUUGUGAUUAUUCAUGCUGUUAGUGUGUUCGUCUGUUUUUAUUCAAAUCUUUCAUUUUUGGUGUCGAGCAAGUGUAUGUCUCUGAUAAUAAUGUUAGUGAUUUGCAUCAUUAUGCUUACUGGGGUGUCGAGAAAGUGUAUGGGCUCUGAUUUAGGGCAAUGUUCACUUAUGAUUUAUAUCUGAUGGAUUUGAUUGUUUAUAUAUUUAUUGAUUAUUUUGAUAACUAAUCAUUGUGUAUUUUCACCACCCAAAACCUGUCCUCACUUGUAAAUAAUGUAACAACCUGCAAAUAAGUUAUUAUUAAGGUUAUUUUUGUGUAUUGUUCAGUCCUCCUCCUUGAUUUGUCUUGCUUUUAGUCAGUCAUUCCAGCCCAACUUCUUGUUUUCAUUUUGAACCUGCUGGCCUCAAAU